rnacentral:rRNA from 1 species
CCUACGGGAGGCAGCAGUCGGGAAUAUUGCGCAAUGGAGGAAACUCUGACGCAGUGACGCCGCGUGCAGGAAGAAGGUUUUCGGAUUGUAAACUGCUUUAGACAGGGAAGAACUAAGACAGUACCUGUAGAAUAAGCUCCGGCUAACUACGUGCCAGCAGCCGCGGUAAU